UUACGGUCUUAUCACAUUGAAAACUAGGUUCGCGUACGAUCACCGAAGUUAAGCAACGUUGAGCUUGAUCAGUACCUAGAUGGGUGACCGGUUGGGAAUAGCAGUUGCAGUC